GCCGGCUUAGCUCAGUUGGUAGAGCACCUGAUUUGUAAUCAGGGGGCCACAGGUUCGAAUCCUGUAGCCGGCACCA
rnacentral:tRNA from 1 species